ACAGAACGAUGAGGCAGCGAAAAGAAAUAGAGCCGACAGUGCUACGCAUUGUCGUUUUCAAUGGGGGAUACCCAAACCCAUCCAACAUCGAGUAACUAUUGGAGGACAAGUCUGGUGCCAGCACCCGCGGUAAUUCCAGCUCCAAAAGCGUAUAUUAAUGCUGUUGCUGUUAAAGGGUUCGUAGUUGAACUGUGGGCCGCGCUGCCGCCGCGCUCCGCCCCACCCGCAGAGGGUGCGUGGCACGCGGCGCGCGCUGCCCGCGAACACUCAGACACAAGCAGCGCGGGAACGCUUCCCCACACCACGCGUGUCAUACACGCACGGGGCGCCCGCGAGUCUUUACUGUGACUAAAAAAGCGCGACCAAAGCAGUCCACCGACCUGAAUUGCAAAGCAUGGGAUAACAAAGCAUCAGCCUCCGGGCCACCGAUUCGGCUUUUGUUGGUUUUAACAGUCCGUUGGAGAUUAUGGGCCGGCGCGAGCACGCACCGCGGCAUUCCACUCGGAACACGCCGCACGCCCCGCGGCGCCUCGCGCGUCGCGGCUCGCCGGCCCGGGAAUGAAGGAGGGCGGCUCGGGGGAGAACGUACUGGCGCGUCAGAGGUGAAAUUCUUAGACCGCGCCAAGACGAACCACAGCGAAGGCAUUCUUCAAGGACGCCUUCCUCAAUCAAGAACCAAAGUGUGGGGAUCGAAGAUGAUUAGAGACCAUUGUAGUCCACACUGCAAACGAUGACGCCCAUGAAUUGGGGACCUGUGGCCAGCGGCGCCGCCGGGCUUGCCCGCGCGCGCGCUCGCUCCACCAACCAUCACGUGCACAUUCUUUGGCGCGGCUUCACGGCCCCGCCGCUACGGGAAUGUCCUCAGCACGUCUCACUGCCCACGCGAAAGCUUUGAGGUUACAGUCUCAGGGGGGAGUACGUUCGCAAGAGUGAAACUUAAAGAAAUUGACGGAAUGGCACCACAAGACGUGGAGCGUGC
rnacentral:rRNA from 1 species